rnacentral:lncRNA from 1 species
CCCGCAAUAAAACAAAAUAAAUGAAACUAAGUCGACCUGCUGAUUAAAUGAACCCUUUGUAAUCUAUACUAUUAAACGAGAAGACCUUAUUUUGUGUGUCGCUUCUCUUCCUUUCACAAUAAAUCAAUCAUCAUGCCUCUGUGUCCUAUAGGUAACAUGCAUAGUCGCAUUUGUCAUCCAUUCUUAUGAUUAUUCAGAUUGAGUUAUUUUGGGAAAAAAACGACAAAAAAGGAGUCCGGAUAUGAUUCCGUCAUUGGACUUACAUUUAGUCAUAGAUAAGACUUCCGGUUUGAAAAAUUCACAAAUACAACCAAUCGUAUGAUAGAUAACAAAAUUGAAAAAAUAAAUAAGCCAAUCAGAGCGUUCUCAUUAUCAUAGUGCUUAGAUCGUAAGAACCACAACUAUUAUACGUCCUUAUAGAGGACAAUUAUUUUUCGCGUUUAUCUAUGUAAACUACGAUUAUACUACUUUAAUAUAUAGGGAAAACGGUAGUAUUUAAUUUUCCCAGCAUUAGGUUGGCCUUUUGUGUACCCAAGGCAGGUGAAGGAAGUCAAAUUAGGAGCGCUGUGAUUGGAUGUAAGGGUACAAUAUAUUUUUUAUUUAUCUAUGAAUAACUGCAGGGUUUAUAUUUACAAUACAAAUUUUGAAACAUAUUGAAAUAUUUUCUAGAGAAUUAUUCGAAAAGACUUACAAAAUUUCAUAAAUUUGGUGCAAAAUGACGGUGGGCAUGGAUAACAUAAACAAGCUCCGUUGGAAGUUGGUCAUGAUACUAUUUGGCUUUAAUUUUUAAAACACAAUAAUAAAGUACUAACACAACAUAUAACUGUUUUAUCCAGGUUUUUAUCUUAAAAAGUGGUAAAUUUAGAAAAUGUUAAUAUUGUCGCCUAUGGCAGAAUAAAUAGUACCGUUUUCCCUAUAGAGACUCUCUGUAUUCUGUCAGGGACCAGUGGCGGAUCCAGAACUUUUC